GUGGCCUGUGAGGGUUGCUGGAGGUAUCAGAAGUGCGAAUGCUGACAUAAGUAACGAUAAAGCGGGUGAAAAGCCCGCUCGCCGGAAGACCAAGGGUUCCUGUCCAACGUUAAUCGGGGCAGGGUGAGUCGACCCCUAAGGCGAGGCCGAAAGGCGUAGUCGAUGGGAAACGGGUUAAUAUUCCCGUACUUGGUGUUACUGCGAAGGGGGGACGGAGAAGGCUAUGUUGGCCGGGCGACGGUUGUCCCGGUUUAAGCGUGUAGGUGUGUGUUCCAGGUAAAUCCGGUUCACUUUAACACUGAGGCGUGACGACGAGGCACUACGGUGCUGAAGCAACAAAUGCCCUGCUUCCAGGAAAAGCCUCUAAGCAUCAGGUAACAUCAAAUCGUACCCCAAACCGACACAGGUGGUCAGGUAGAGAAUACCAAGGCGCUUGAGAGAACUCGGGUGAAGGAACUAGGCAAAAUGGUGCCGUAACUUCGGGAGAAGGCACGCUGACACGUAGGUGAAGUGAUUUACUCA
rnacentral:rRNA from 1 species